UUCCGGUUGAUCCUGGCGGAGGUCACUGCUAUCGGGGUUCGAUUAAGCCAUGCGAGUUGAGAGGGUUAAGACCCUCAGCGGACUGCCCGGUAACACGUGGAUAACCUGCCCUAAGGUAGGGGAUAACCCCGGGAAACUGGGGAUAAUACCCUAUAGGCUACAAAUGCUGGAAUGCUUUGUAACUCAAAGUCCCGACGCCUUAGGAUGGAUCUGCGGCCGAUUAGGUUGUUGUUGGGGUAACGGCCCAACAAGCCCGUAAUCGGUACGGGUUGUGGGAGCAAGAGCCCGGAGAUGGACUCUGAGACACGAGUCCAGGCCCUACGGGGCGCAGCAGGCGCGAAAACUUUACAAUGCAGGAAACUGUGAUAAGGGAACCCCGAGUGCCCGUAAACGCGGGCUGUCCGGGUGUGUAAAAAGCACCCGAAGAAAGGGCCGGGCAAGACCGGUGCCAGCCGCCGCGGUAAUACCGGCGGCUCGAGUGGUGACCACUUUUAUUGGGCUUAAAGCGUACGUAGCUGGAUUGUUAAGUCUCUUGGGAAAUCUUACGGCUUAACCGUAAGGCGGCCAAGAGAUACUGGCAAUCUUGGGACCGGAAGAGGUGAGAGGUACUCCGGGGGUAGGAGUGAAAUCCUGUAAUCCUCGGGGGACCACCUGUGGCGAAGGCGUCUCACUAGGACGGCUCCGACAGUGAGGGACGAAAGCUGGGGGAGCAAACCGGAUUAGAUACCCGGGUAGUCCCAGCCGUAAACGAUGCGCGUUAGGUGUAUCGGUGACCACGAGUCACCGAGGUGCCGAAGGGAAACCGUGAAACGUGCCGCCUGGGAAGUACGGUCGCAAGGCUGAAACUUAAAGGAAUUGGCGGGGGAGCACCACAACAGGUGGAGCCUGCGGUUUAAUUGGACUCAACGCCGGGAAGCUCACCGGAUAAGACAGCGGAAUGAUAGCCGGGCUGAAGACUCUGCUUGACCAGCUGAGAGGAGGUGCAUGGCCGUCGUCAGUUCGUACUGUGGAGCAUCCUGUUAAGUCAGGCAACGAGCGAGACCC
rnacentral:rRNA from 1 species